rnacentral:lncRNA from 1 species
AGAAAGAGGGCUUUAUGGUAUCUACCCAGAUGUGGUUUUUAUUAUACUAAUUUUCUGAUGGGGUUCAUGUAUUAGGUCAGUGCUGUGAAAUGUGGUCUGUUGGUCUCUUUUUCUCUUCUCUCCAGCUGCUUUGAAGGGCUCUGCAGCUCCAUUCUGUAACUCCUCCUGCUGAUGUCACCUGCUUUCCUGUAAAAAAAAAGCCUCAGAACCUGCCACUUUUUCUUUCACAGGAUCUGAGAGCCUCUUCCCAGAUUUUCUAGGUUCUCUAGAUGCCCAGCCCUUACCAGAACAGUAGCAUCCCUCUCUCAAGCCUUAUCCUAUCUCCCCUUCAACUUUCUUGCCAUACCUCCAUCAGAGCCUAUGUUCUAAAUGACCAGUUGCCAGGUAGGCAAUAUUCUGUAGAAGGUCCAGUGCCAGCUCCAGGCUUGCAGGCAGAGAAGCAGUGCUGCAGCUGACAAACCUGCAUCAGAAGCUGGCACAGACAGAUAUCCGCCAGACUCUGAAGGAGCAUGUGUAGAACUUUGCUGUGCAGAUGAGUAGCAGCAUGAUCUGAAGGAGGAUCCACCCAUCAAGGCUGAAGUUUCUAACAUCCUUAUUUAUCUGUCUACGAAGCACAGGAUCAGAAUUGGACCUAUGUGAUCCACCAGAUACCAUAUAAAAGUAGAUUCUAGAAGGCUGUCUUGCUAUCUGGCUCACUUCAGGGUUCGAACCUUGUUCCCACCAGACAGUGUUGGCAGUCCCCAGAGAGACCCAAAAUGAUUGGCUAUGGGGAGCUGAGAUCCUGGUUCCUAAUUUUUAAGAUUUUUUUUUUUAGUUGCAGAUGGACACAAUGCCUUUAUUUUAAUUUAUUCAUUGUUGCAAGCGAGCCAUGGACUGUGUGAGCUAUGAGCAUUCGAGUGGAUGGGAGGACUGGCCUGGUGUUAUAUGCUCUUUGGGCUGUGCAACACACAUAUGCACUUUCCUCUCUCCGUGCCUGUGACUAGCCAAGAUGUCAAUCUGCUGACCAUAAGACAUCAGGAAGCUAGACUCAAUCCUCUGAAACCUGCCCCUUGCCUUAUUUGGAAAGAACAUUCCAUGGAACUUCCUUCUGUGUGCCGCCCCCCCCCCAUUAAAAUAAAGAAUCUAGGUGCAAGUUCUCUCUUUCCAACAGACCCUUAAGGUCGAGAACUGUCCCUGAGUCCUGCAGGCAAAAUGUAUUUCUGUGUGUUGAAUGCUUCUUUCACCAUAAGUUGCUGGUGCAGCCAGAUCUUGUGAACCCAGCUCAGGUCGCCAGCCUCACUAGCUGGUAAUAAUUUAUGUGGUGCUCAGGAUUGAACCCAGUUCUUAUACAUGCUAGGCAAGCACUCUGCCACAACUCUAGACCCUAACUACCCCUUUCAGUGUUUCAGAGGUAAACAGGUAUUAGAGACUCCUGUUUAUACAACUCAUUGCCCCAUAGGGUUCUCUGAAGGACAGAACAGUAUCUGUAUGGACCACUGCACAGUGCCAAGCAGUCUUUAACUUGGGUCUUGAAACAAUCUUGAUUGAAGCAAGCCAGCCCCUUUAAGAACAUUCAUAAUAUACAAAGGCACAGUAAGCUUCUUUUCACCUGCCUGGCAGGUCAGAAGGCUAUCCCCUGCACUGCUUAAUAUUUGGUUGGUCUCCAUCAGAAAAAAAAAGGGAAUGAUGAUGACUAUCACUGACUUGUGGAUGCUCUGCUUGGCUAGUAAUGAGGCCUAGCAAGAAAAAAAAAUUAGAUCCUGGAAGUUUGGGAAGAGGAGGUAGAUAGAUCCUGGCCUCAGUGUCAUUUUUCUUCAGCAAAUGAGAACUUGAAAGUCUUCAUUUUGUGAAGUGGCAAAGAGCAAAAUGCAUAGGCUGAUUCUUAAUACCAGCAUGGUCUCUCCCUGUUAGUCCCCUUGGCCUUGUAGCACAAGGAGCACACCUGACUUUCUGGUCAUAACAAUGUUCUCAUACUUGCUUUAAUUUAAUUGAUUCUUAUCUCGCCUAGAAGAGAUACUCAAGGGUCCAGUUACAAGGGUCUCCAUAGAGCAGAGUUUACAGAUUAUUGUUCGUGAGGCUUCCAGGCCUCUCUAAGACAGGGUUGGCAAG